rnacentral:misc_RNA from 1 species
GAAAUCUACCCUAAUAUGAUUCCCAAUACACUGCUUCAAAUUUUCCCCCUUCCUCAAAAAUGGCAAUUCUCUCUCCGGCAACUGCAGCCCGUUCUGCGCACCCACCACCGCAAGCAUUUCCAAAGUUAAAUGCCAAAAAUUUUCAGUCUCCUUCUCUUAUCCCGAUUAAUUCCCAGUUCCAGUUUCUGUCGCUUCGCUCCAAUUCCAACGCACACCCACGCCGCCUCCACGCCGCGUUGUCGCCCCAACCGGCUCCACAGUCCGACCCGCCACCCGAAAAGGACCCUGUUCGUCCCGGAGGUUUGGACUCUAGGAACAUUGAACGCCGCCUUUAAUUGAUUAUUAUAGUUUAGUUCUAAGUUGCCAAGUAUCUGCGUUAUUUAGUUGAUAAUUUUAUGAUUGAAUUACUUUCUGAAUAUAUCAAAUAUGGUUAUGGGCUAUUUACAAUUUUGUAAUUAUUUGGAAACUUGAUGUUUUGCAGUGCAAAAUCAGUCUAAUUGUAUUCGAAAUGGUGAUUAAGUUAAAGUAAUGGAAUAUGUAAAGGCUAAGGGUUUGCUUACUGAUUGGGAUUUUGGUAUACUUUUUGCUAGGGUAGAACUUUCAUGAGGGGUGGGCUAGCUUAAUAUUGGAAAAAAUUUAUAAAUUUGUUGAAAAGUCUUCUUGAUUUUACCUUCUCUUACUAAGUUUGAGAUGUCACAGAAUUUUGCGGUGCAGAAUUUCCAAGGAAUUCUCAAUGUGAAAAGUAAAUGAGCAAUUUGAGAACUGCCUUGCAUUUACUUAGGUUACAUUUGAUGGGUGUCUGGAUUUAUGCUUUAGGUCUGAUGAGAAGAGAAAGAUAUGUUGCUUCACUAAUGUAGUCUUAUUUUCAUCGUCUUAGGGGCUUGCAAGCAAAGAGGUCCACUAGUGAGGUCCAUCAAAAGGGGUAGUAAGCUCGAGUUAGAAGGGAUAGUAGUAUAAUAGAGAUUAAGUAGAGAGGAGAGAAAGAGGAGGAUUGAGAGAAAGAAAUCCUUUUUCAUGAAUAGAGAAAAGUGAUUGGAGCAUAUUUCUUGGCAUAUUCUGGAAAAUAUUUCAUAGAGAAAAAUGAUUAGAGCAUAUUUCUUGACAUAUUCUAGAAAAUAUUUCAUAGAGAGUAUAUUCUUAUAUAAAAAGGGUAUAUGUGAUAUGUGAUUAUUUUAUAGUAUAUUAACUGCAUUUGGGCAAAACCCAAAAUGCAGAAGCAAUCUCAAACAUGACCUUCUGGUAUGGGAUAUAGAUCAGGCAUUGCAUUUAUAACUAAGUUAAAAUGAAAUGAGGAGCACCGCCACAUUGGCACAAUAUUGCUUUUGGCAGAGCUAUGAAGCUUCGUGAAUCAUGAGUCUUAAAUAGACAGAUAGACUGCAAAGUGCAAAUUAGCAUCCCUCGCAAAAUAGCAGUGGUCACUGCUCGAGUGUUACUCUCAACGUAGCAAGUAAUGCUAGUUCCUCCAACUGUUUGGUAACAUUGUACUUGAGGUUUUCCUAUGUCAUGGAGAGCUGACAUCCGGAGCGUUUGUAUAUACCAUAUAGCCACAUUACAAUUAGGCUUUAUGGACUAUGGACGGUAGCUCUUAAUUAAAUAAUAGAAAUAGAAAACUAGGAUUGGUGCAGAGCAUGGCUGUAUGCUCUGCAACAAGGAUCUGUUCACAGUCCCUUUCAACUCUCUCUCUUUUUUUCUUCUCAUUUUCCUUAUUCGUUCAGUUUUCUGCUGCAAUAGCACAGGAACUGUUCACAACUCUCUUUCAACUCACUCCAUCUUCUUUUCUAAACCUAAUUGCAACACUAAAAUGACUAUUUAUUUCUGUAUCCUUGGAAAUCCUAGGCUCUGAAAUGCUUUGCUAGCCCUAAUACUGAUUCGUUGCUUAUACUUCAGCCACC